GAGUCGACCCUAUUAUCGCUCCUAGACAGAGGUGAAAGUCAGACGGAAUGGACCGAAACCAACAAAUUAGAAAACUCGUAAAAAAGAACAUAUAUGAAAUGUUUUCAAUAAUAGAAAUUCAAUGGCUUUAAUUACAUCUCCAAAGGCAGAAUUUGGGAUAACGCCAGCUCCUCUAAUGGCUUCAUUCUCCUCCCGAGGCCCAAAUACCGCAACACCGGGAAAUCCUCAAGCCGGACAUCACAGCGCCUGGAGUUGAUAUCAUGGCUGCCUAUACAGAGGGAAACGGGCCCACAGGCCUGCCGGAUGAUGAACGCACGACUAAAUAUUUAUUUAUUUAUUUCUGGAACAUCUAUGUCUACCCCUCAUGUUGCUGGUGUAGUUGCUCUACUCAAAUCCAUCCACCCUCAUUGGAGUCCGUCAGCCAUUCGAUCAGCUUUGAUGACUACAGCUACCACUUUCACAUCAUACUAUUCAUUCUCUUACAUCACCAUUCGGCAUUACAUUUUUAUGUUUACUUACAGCAAGCACGGUCGAUAACACUAAUAAGCCUAUGCUCGAAGAGUCAUCCUUAGUCGAAGCAACACCAUUCAGUUCCGGAGCAGGGCAUAUCAAGAAACUCAUUCAGAACAACGGAUGCCUCCUGGCGAACACGUUUAGCCUGUUAGACUUUAACUACCCUUCGAUUACUGUGCCAAAGCUCUCCAGCUCGGUGAAAGUGAAUAGGAUACUUAAGAACGUCGGUUCGCCUGGAAUAUACUUUGCUCGUAUUCGUCCACCACUUGGAGUUUCGGUUUCUGUAGAGCCUAAUACUUUGGAAUUUACAAAGAAUGGUGAAGAGAUGAGAUUUCAGUUAACCAUGACUAGAGACACAACUAAUGUACAAAGUAAGUACUCAUUCGGAGAGUUGCUAUGGUCGGAUGGAAAGCACAAUGUGAGAUAGUAGGAACUACUACAACGUGAAUACAAUUCUAUCUUCGAUUAUUCUAUGAAGCCAGACUACCCAGUUGCUAUGGUCGAAUGUAAACCACAAUGUUAGAUUUUUGUUUAAGUUUUUUAAUGAGUUUUUAAAAUUUUGUUUAGCUUC